UACGGAGGGUGCAAGCGUUAUCCGGAUUCACUGGGCUUAAAGGGUGCGUAGGCGGGCAGGUAAGUCCGCGGUGAAAUCCUGGGGCUUAACCCCAGAACUGCCGUUGAUACUAUCUGUCUUGAAUAUUGUGGAGGUGAGCGGAAUAUGUCAUGUAGCGGUGAAAUGCUUAGAUAUGACAUAGAACACCAAUUGCGAAGGCAGCUCACUACGCAGUUAUUGACGCUGAGGCACGAAAGCGUGGGGAUCAAACAGG
rnacentral:rRNA from 1 species